UACAGAGGGGGCAAGCGUUAUUCGGAAUUAUUGGGCGUAAAGGGCUCGUAGGCGGUUUGUCGCGUCGGGAGUGAAAACCUUGGGCUUAACUCAGGGCUUGCUUUCGAUACGGGCAGACUAGAGGUAUGCAGGGGAGAACGGAAUUCCUGGUGUAGCGGUGAAAUGCGCAGAUAUCAGGAGGAACACCGGUGGCGAAGGCGGUUCUCUGGGCAUUACCUGACGCUGAGGAGCGAAAGCGUGGGGAGCGAACAGG
rnacentral:rRNA from 1 species